rnacentral:misc_RNA from 1 species
GUUCUUUCCUGGAACUGGAGAUGUUAAGGAUGUAGGAGAAAGAGAAGGAAAGUUUUAUGCUAUAAAUGUUCCCCUGAAGGAUGGAAUAGAUGACACCAGCUUCACCCGGCUUUUUAAAACUAUUAUUUCCAAGGUGGUAGAAACAUAUCUGCCAGGUGUGAUAGUUCUUCAGUGUGGAGCAGAUUCUUUAGCUAGAGACCGCUUGGGCUGUUUCAACCUCUCUAUUGAUGGUGCAUAUCUACUCGUAAUUGAAGCACACUCUUUUUCUUCCCUUCCAGGAGUUGUCCAACCAUGCAGCNNNNAGAAUGUUGCUCGAUGUUGGACUGUUGAAACAGGAGUUCUUUUAGAUACAGAACUACCCAACGAGAUCCCAGAUAACGAGUAUAUCAAAUAUUUUGCCCCUGAGUAUUCAUUGAAGAUUCCAGGUGGACAAAUAGAGAAUUUAAAUAGCAAAUCUUACAUUAGCACGAUCAAAAUGCAAGUUCUGGAAAAUCUUCGUUGCAUACAACAUGCUCCAGGUGUACAAAUGCAGGAGGUUCCACCCGACUUUUACAUUCCUGAUUUUGAUGAAGAUGAGCAAAACCCGGAUGAACGCAUGGAUCAGCAUAGUCAAGACAAGCAUAUCCAGCGAGAUGAUG